UACGGAGGAUGCAAGCGUUAUCCGGAAUGAUUGGGCGUAAAGCGUCCGCAGGUGGCAAUGUAAGUCUGCUGUUAAAGAGUCUAGCUCAACUAGAUAAGAGCAGUGGAAACUACAUAGCUAGAGUACGUUCGGGGCAGAGGGAAUUCCUGGUGUAGCGGUGAAAUGCGUAGAGAUCAGGAAGAACACCAGUGGCGAAGGCGACACGCUGGGCCGUACCUGACGCUAAAGCGCGACAGCAUGGGGAGCAAACGGG
rnacentral:rRNA from 1 species